GACGAACGCUGGCGGCGCGCUUAACACAUGCAAGUCGAACGGAAAGGCCCUGCUUUUGUGGGGUGCUCGAGUGGCGAACGGGUGAGUAACACGUGAGUAACCUGCCCUUGACUUUGGGAUAACUUCAGGAAACUGGGGCUAAUACCGGAUAGGAGCUCCUGCUGCAUGGUGGGGGUUGGAAAGUUUCGGCGGUUGGGGAUGGACUCGCGGCUUAUCAGCUUGUUGGUGGGGUAGUGGCUUACCAAGGCUUUGACGGGUAGCCGGCCUGAGAGGGUGACCGGCCACAUUGGGACUGAGAUACGGCCCAGACUCCUACGGGAGGCAGCAGUGGGGAAUAUUGCACAAUGGGCGGAAGCCUGAUGCAGCAACGCCGCGUGCGGGAUGACGGCCUUCGGGUUGUAAACCGCUUUCGCCUGUGACGAUGCGUGAGUGACGGUAAUGGGUAAAGAAGCACCGGCUAACUACGUG
rnacentral:rRNA from 1 species